GCGCCCUCUCGUGUGUGGUCAACAAGCCAUUGAGUGAGUCGACCAGAUUCCAGAGACCAGAGUCGACUCGUAAUUUGGUCAUUUGGGGCCGUUGCUGUCGAGAGGAAAUCCUGCGGGAAAUAUUUGGCUAUUUGCCGCUAAAUGCUCAGCGUACUCCUGGCAACUCCAAUGUAACCCAUCCACAUCAGGUAACACAGUGUAAUCAAAGAUGACUUAUAUUUUAAGUUACUUACCGUUCCAUAUGUGAGUUAUGUCACAUACUUAUUUCAACCCAAAGCAAGAUCUUUUCCUAAACCUAACCAAACUGCGACCACUUCACAACAUUAACCACAUCUUAAAAAAGCUUUUCAUGCGGACACUGAAGGGUACCUUUAUAUAUCAAAUACUUGUGCUUUGAAAUGUUCUAUUAUGUUCACAAGCUAGUAGCUAACGUUGGCUGUCUGCUGUGUGGUGCUCAGCAGGUAGUGUACAGUGGGUUUUUAGUAGUUUUUCCCUGAAAAGGGCUGCCUGCUCUAGUUAAGAAGUAUGGUAAUGAGAGUGAAUCAAAACAGCUGAGUUGUGGGCAAGAAAACCCAAGUAAUGAUUUGAAAGAUGUUAUAAAACUGAGAAAUGAGAGGAGCUGCAGAGUCUGAUUUUCUGUUGGCUUGUCACUAUGAGCAACCCAUUUCACAUUAUAAGUAAUAAUUUGAUCAUUUUUAACAGCAACUUUAAAGUAAAGUGAGCAAUUCAUUCGGUCUGUUGCAUCCUGAUUACUCUAGUUGGACGAUGUGACACCAAUAAUAAUAGGUGACUUAAAAGGUUUCGACGCCUGCUCUCAUUCCCCUCUCCUCUCGUUUUCUCAGUAUCAUCUGUUACCAUUACUGGAUGAGAGUUUAGGAUGUCCUGCUCUUCACAGUGCUGCAGAAUCCCAGAGGAGGUUCCAGCACAAAGUUACACAACUGGCCUCUCUGUCUGCCGUGCUACAUUAAUCUUCCCCUGGUUGCAGAAAUCUCCCUUUAACAUCUUCCUCAUGGGUGUCCGCUGUGUGUGUGUGUGUGUGUGUGUGUGUGUGUGUGUGUGUGUGUGUGUGUGUGUGUGUGUGUUUGUGCAUGCAUGUGUGGGUGGACAGGGUAAUUGGUCCAGUGAAUGUGCCCAGGUCUGCUCAGGCCAAACGCUGCUGCAGUGUACAUACAGUGUAUUUGCUGUGCUGAGCUGUGGGGGUGUGGGAAAGCGAUCAGAGUGGACUUUAGAGGAAACUGUGGAAGAAUGAGGAAAUUGCAGACAGAUAGGACUAAUGGUUGCGCUGAGGGAAGAGGUUGUAGGGCCAACAGCUGCUAGCCAUCCAUCUGGACCAGCCCUGAGUGCUGGACGAGACCACUCUGCAGUGACGUAUUCACCUUCUGGGGACGGGUGCACUGGGACUUUCCAUCAGAGCAGGCUACAUAAGUAUUUGCAAUAAAUUCAUGGAGUUUGUUUUAAAAUCC